UCUCUCCCUCAGCUCUGUCUCUGUCUCUCUGCAAGUGCAGAGAUACCCAACCACCGGCACACUCCCACUUCGGUGAGCUCCGCCGACACCAACACAACCUACCAAUUUUCUCAACGAGCCACUACCUAGAAGAUAUCACUAAACCUAGAAACAUGUGUGGAAUUGAACCACCAUCGACACCAUUUUGACACACCCCAACCCGGAAUGUUCACCUGGACUCCAAAUCGAGUUAUUAUGGCCGAUACCAUGAAGGUAACGAAGCUGUAAAGUGUAGUGAUGUGGAAAAAGUGAAUAAAUUUAAACCUAAAAGUGCCUAAAUAUAAGAGUGCGCUUAUGAGCAGGAAUGAACCCAUUUCACACAUGAUGUUAAAGCAUAAGUAAAGUACAGUAAAGUAGGAUGAGAAUUAUACCAUCGAAGAUAAUCUACAAUACCAAGAUUUGCUAAGAAUCCUCGUCGAUACAAAACAUCAGCUACUAAAACCUGGAGGGGCAAAAAACAAGGGUAAGUGAGCCUAAAAAUAAAGUUUCAUAAAAACCUUUUUGAAGACAUUAUAACCCCUUGCAGUAAAACAAGUAUAGUUUCCAAAAUAUACAUACUACAAAUAGUAAGGAAAAUACUUACCGUAGCCUGCAAUAUCUCAAGAAUUCAAUACGGCACAAUAUUUCGUAAAUAAAGACACGACGCUAGUAAUCACACAAUCUAACACCCCUAAUCACACAAUCUCGCAUAAGCAAACAUAUCAUAUCAAGUGCUCAUUGACACAUGCUGACACACGAGUUCAUGCAGAGAUAUUCUGACAUGAACAGGACUUGGUGUAACAAUGAUAUAUAAUCUAGUACUACAAUCACGUGAAGACUUGCGCUAUGCACAACACAUAUGAGUCCUAAUUGCCUAUAGCAAUCUAGGAUAUGAUUGGCACCUACAAUGAAUCCAAAGUGAGCAUACGAUGUGAUGUGCAUAUACACAUGAAAGAUUGUCCUUGUCCCGGGCGAGUAUUAACACUGGUGCAACAAACGAUGAGCAGACAACAUAAAUAUAGUCAUGCCACAAAGAUUCGAUAAUUCUAGUCAACGUAAUAUUAUUCAUAGCCGUAAAUUUAAUUAAGGCAUCCCGUAAGAUUUAUAAUGAUUUCCUAAUUCUCUUUGUUACGUCAUUUCCAUGCAAUGUGUUUCACCUAGAAACGAAACCAUUAACGUAAAUAUAUAAUGUACUAACGUAUAAAAGCGUUUUUCGCACAAAGUACGGCUAAUAAAUGAACAAACGGUCAAAUUUCGGAAAACGAACGACGGAUUCAGAUUCGACAUGUCAAGAAACCUAAGGAGGGACCUCGAGCUCCUUCACGUGCCGCCGCCACGUGCCACUCGCGGUGGUUCCCUCACGUGCGCCCAAUCGCCUACGAGUACAAUAGUACUCAUCUUCCUCGCAAAGGCCUGCACUUUGCAGGUUUUUGGUCUAACUUCUACAGCUCCUAUCGAGCUCGAUUCUCCACCAAAAUCAAUGAUUCAAAAGCCAUUUUG
rnacentral:lncRNA from 1 species